rnacentral:rRNA from 1 species
UACAGAGGGUGCGAGCGUUAAUCGGAAUUACUGGGCGUAAAGCGCGCGUAGGCGGCUUUGCAAGUCGGGUGUGAAAUCCCCAGGCUUAACCUGGGAACUGCAUUCGAGACUGCAUUGCUAGAGUAUGGGAGAGGGAAGUGGAAUUUCCGGUGUAGCGGUGAAAUGCGUAGAUAUCGGAAGGAACAUCAGUGGCGAAAGCGACUUCCUGGACCAAUACUGUCGCUCAUGUGCGAAAGCGUGGGGAGCAAACAGG